rnacentral:rRNA from 1 species
UACAGAGGGUGCAAGCGUUAAUCGGAAUACUGGGCGUAAGGCGUGCGCAGGCGGUUCUAUAAGACAGAAUGUGAAAUCCCCGGGCUCAACCCUGGGAACUGCAUUUGUGACUGUAGAGCUGGAGUGCGGCAGAGGGGGAUGGAAUUCCGCGUGUAGCAGUGAAAUGCGUAGAUAUGCGGAGGAACACCGAUGGCGAAGGCAAUCCCCUGGGCCUGCACUGACGCUCAUGCACGAAAGCGUGGGGAGCAAACAGG